CAGGGUAUGAGCAGAGAGAUGCUCUCUUCAGCUCACAGUCGGCCACGGUCCACCAGCUCUCAUCUGAAAAGACGUGUAGUGAGGGCCCUCCGUACCCAUCUUGAACAUCUCGACACAGACUGGUUUGUCGGCGUGAACGUUGGGGUGUCCUGGCAUCCAGUCGGUGUAACUCCAAUCUGACCCGUCAACCCACGAGGCCUGCUGGUUCUGAGGGCUCUCCUAGCAACAGCAAAGUGUGCAACUAUUCCAAAUAAAGGUUCAAGGAUCAAUGUUCCACCAAGGUAAGAAUAACAUUAUCUGUCCUGUUGAUAGCAUAUCUGAUGACACUCUCCUUGGCCUCCUUUGGUGCCACAGUACAUGGCCAGUAUGGUUGCAUCAUCAGAGUCAUUAAGCCCUUGGAUUAAAAAAAAGGUAUUCUUUAUAACUUCCUUUGAUGGACAUCUAAAGAAGCCUGAAAGGAGAGCUCCUCAUAGAUGUUUCCUGUACUGCUUUCUUUGUGUGAGCUUCAAGAAGUGCCUUCGUCCUCCUCCAAGUAUCGGUGCUUGACUGUGAAAACAACUUACCUUGA